GCGGUAAGGGUUUUGAUUGAUGGAAGGAUGAAGGAAGAAGAUGAUGAUGAUGAAGAGAUUGGGUUCUAUGGAUGGCAGCCAAGUUAAGAAAAUGGCGAAUAAUUGGACUAGGGCUAGAGUUAGGACGUGGUAAUGAUGGAUGCAAGGAAGAUGUAAGGAAGAUAACGAGGUCUUGAUUGAAAGAGUCUUACCUUCGCUCAAGAACCCGGAGUUGACAUGAAGGAGGAGUCUCACCUUUCCAGCUUCUACCGAUGAAGAACCUCGGCGUCUCACCAAGGAUUUUCAAAGCGUCUCACUUAGGAAGAAGGAACCUUUGGAGUCUCACCAAAGGAGGAACGCCUCUCAAUCUCAAGAGCAAUUGAAAAUCAAAAUAAAUUCUCUGAUUAAUUUCAUUCAUCAUACCUCAUCUUUUAUAGAGAGGUUGGCAAGUGAUAAAUAUUGACAACAAAAUUUUGGGGGACUCCUAACCAAAUAAGGACUUGACUAAAAAUGGAUUCGACUAAAAAUCAAACCGCCUAAUGAUAAACUUGACACCUUAUCUAUUGAGACCUAUCCAAAAUUGGAUUGUACUCUAGGCAUAUGGAUGGAUCCCUAGAAUUGAGGAACCCCACCGCAUGCAAGAGAACUAAUCCAAGUGGGAAACCUUCUUGCCGUAUGAGAUCAAUCCUAAUUUUAUUAGGAUCUCAUAUAGCACGUGAACCACUCUUUAAAGACUCAUUCAACAACUGACUAAAUAAGUUUCUUACCUAAUUGGACUCCUCUUUUGAUGUGAGGAUGAGGCCUAAAAAGAAGGCACUCAACUGCAAGCAAGAGACCUAGUCCAAUGGAAACUCCUUCAUGCCGUCUGGACCAAGUCCAAGUUUUAUUUGGACUCAUUCCAAUGUGACAUGUGACGACUCCUACUAAAUCAAAGACCCAUUCAACGGCUUGACUCAAUCUAAGUUAGGCGUUGAGAACCCUAACUCAAUGUGAAUUUAUUCACUUAUUUUAUGGACUCAAUCUCACCACAACUUGGACUCAACUUCACUCACACGACUAAACCAAAACUCUACACAUGGACUCAGUAUGACUUGACACCUACUGUUGGACUCAUGACUUAAUAAUAGACUCAACUCAUUAUGAUUUGGUGCUUCAUGGUAGGGCUCUGUCUCCACGUGUGCUCCACGAUUCAAUUGGAUUCAGGAAGGGCUCUUACUCUUGAGUGGCUUGAUUUGCCCAAAGGAUGAAGACUCGAUCUCCACGCGCGCUCCAUGAUUCAAUUGGGCUCAUGAAGGGCUCAUGCUCCUGCAUCAAUUUUUUUCCUGUCGAGAAGAACUCGACCCCGUGAAGAAUCCUAGCCCAAGUGAAUUUGGUUGGCUGCUUGGGCGCUGGUUGCUUGGCACAGGAUGCAUGACACGGCUAGCCGGGAUGCGUGACUCGGAUGGACCAAGACGCGAGUCUAGUGCAGUCUGACUACGAUGCCGAACCGCUGCGCACUCUGAUGUGGGUGCAUAUGCUUGGCAUAGGAUGACCUCCUCUGAAUUUUCAAAUCCGACUUCCUCACGGAUCGCUGCUGAAAUUGGCUCUUCCUUGGCCACUAGUAGAUCUGAAUUUUCUGCAUCAAUGGGUGCUUCAGUGGCCAUCUACUGAUCUGAAUUUUCUGCUGCAGCAACUUCGGAUUGCUUGAUUUUUACUAUUGUAGAAAUUUCAGUUUGCUGUGCUUCUGCUGCUGUAGAAUUUUUAGAACCUUCUUCCUUAGCAAUUGGUGCAAACAUGGUUCCGAAUUCAUGGUUGAUUUCUAUUGAAUUUUCUGAACUAUCUUUCUUGGGCAAUUCUUCUAAAGUUACAUCAAGAAAAUCAGUAAAAAUAGGUUCAAAUUCAAAUGAGUUCACCUCUAAAAUUUUAUCUUCCACAUUGUCUUUCUCCUUGUCCUCAACCUCAGCGGGCUUAGGAGAGACUUCAAGGAAAGGAAAAGGGAUCUCAGCGGUAGGGACAUCAUCAGAUGAUGCUUCUGAAUUUUCAAGACUAGCGCCAAGAUCUUCUUCAAAAUUUUGUUGAUCUUUAGUAGGACAAAUGUCAGCGAGGUGCCCGCGGCCACCGCACUUGGAGCAAUCAGGUUUGCCUGUUCUUUGCGGCAUGGGACUCAUUAUUUUUUUGCUGAAUUUUGUUGUUCCUUGCUUCGGAUAUGUACCCCUAUUUGCAGAAAUUUUAGAUCUUAUGGAUGGAAAAAUACCUCGAGGAGGAGUGCCUUUGUUGCUACGUUCUGAAGGUCGUCGGCCAACUUGUGGUUUGACAUGGCUACGAUGUCGUAAUUCUGCCUCCACAACAUCCAUCUUCCAUGCUAGGGCUGCCAUUUGAUUUUGAACUUCAUCCAUCAAAUCAUCUUGUUGUCGUUCGAUGUUGUAGGGAUUGUAGGAAUCGUCAUAGUAGGGAUCAUCAUAGUAGGGAUGACUUCGUCUUGUACUCAUGUGGAUUGAUUUGCUCUGAUACCAAUUGACGUAGAACGGAGGUGGGAUGGUUGCUCUGAUACCAAUUGACACAGAAUAGAGGUGAGAUGGUUGCUCUGAUACCAAUUGACGCAGUUGGGGAUGGGGUUUAUGUGGUGGACUCGGACGGAAGGGCUACUCUUUGCUCUUUUUUGUUUUUCUCAAGUGGCGGUUAGGGUUUUGAUUGAUGGAAGGAUGAAGGAAGAAGAAGAUGAUGGUGAUGGNNNNNNNNNNNNNNNNNNNNUUGCUCUGAUACCAAUUGACACAGAAUAGAGGUGAGAUGGUUGCUCUGAUACCAAUUGACGCAGUUGGGGAUGGGGUUUAUGUGGUGGACUCGGACGGAAGGGCUACUCUUUGCUCUUUUUGUUUUCUCAAGUGGCGGUUAGGGUUUUGAUUGAUGGAAGGAUGAAGGAAGAAGAAGAUGGUGAUGGAAAGAUUGGGUUCUAUGGAUGGCAGCCAAGUUAAGGAAAUGGCGAAUAAUUAGACUAGGGCUAGAGUUAGGACGUGGUGAUGAUGGAUGCAAGGAAGAUGUAAGUAAGAUAACUACGUCUUGAUUGAAAGAGUCUCACCUUCGUUCAAGAACCCGAGGUUGACAUGAACGAGUCUCACCUUUUCAGCUUCUACCGAUGAAAAACCUUAGCGUCUUACCAAGGGUUUCCAAGGCGUCUCACCUAGGAAGACAAAACUUUUAGAGUCUCACCAAAGGAGGAAGAAGAAGCUUCACGCCUCUCAAUCUCAAGAGCAAUUGAAAAUCAAAAUAAAUUCUCUGAUUAAUUUCAUUCAUCAUACCUCCUCUUUUGUAGAGAGAGGUUGGUAAGAGAUAAACAUUGACAACAGAAUUUUGGGGGACUCCUAACCAAAUAAGGACUCGACUAAAAAUGGAUUCGACUAAAAAUCAAACCUCCUAAUGAUAAACUUGACAUCUCACCUAUUGAGACCUAUCCAAAAUUGGAUUGUACUUUAGGCGUACGGAUGGAUACCUAGAAUUGAGGAACCCGACGCAUGCAAGAGAACUAAUCCAAGUGGCAAACCUCCUUGCCGUGUGAGAUCAAUCCUAAUUUUAUUAGGAUCUUAUAUAGCACGUGAACCACUCUUCAAAGCCUCAUUCAACAAUUGACUAAAUAAGUUUCUUACCUAAUUGGACUCCUCUCUUGACGUGAGGAUGAGGCCUAAAAAGAAGGCAUUCAACUGCAAGCAAGAGACCUAGGCCAAUGGAAACUCCUUCAUGCCGUGUGGACCAAGUCCAAGUUUUAUUUGGACUCAUUCCAAUGUGAUGUGGCGGCUCCUACUAAAUCAAAGACCCAUUCAACGUCUUGACUCAAUCUAAGUUAGGCGUUGAGAACCCUAACUCAAUGUGAAUUUAUUCACUUAUUUCAUGAACUCAAUCUCACCACAACUUGGACUCAACUUCACUCAUACGGCUAAACCAAAUACUUUACACAUGGACACAAUAUGACUUGACAUCUACUGUUGGACUCAUGACUCAAUAAUAGACUAAACUCAUUGUGAUUUGGUGCGUCAUGGUUGGGCCCUGUUUCCACGUGUGCCCCACGAUUCAAUUGGAGUCCAAAAGGGCUCUUGCUCUUGAGUGGUUUGAUUCGCCCAAAGGAUGAAGACUCGAUCUGCACGCGCGCCCCAUGAUUCAGUUGGGCUCAUGAAGAGCUUUUGCUCCUGCAUCACCCUCCUUCUCCCUCCCUCUCUCCUCUAGUUGCUCUCUCCUUUCUUCUCUUUCCUUCUCCUUCUCCCUCUCUGCCGCCGGUAUGGAUCGGGAUGCUCCAAAUUGGACGGUUCGGGACGGUUCGAGACGGUUCCGCAGAUGUUGGUUGAAAUUCUCUUAUUUAUUAGGACAAAUAUCACAUAGGAGGUUCUACCAAACGCCAAUGAUGUAAGGAAGAUGUGCAAGGCCAUCUGACACAUCAGAGAAAGAACUUA
rnacentral:lncRNA from 1 species